rnacentral:lncRNA from 1 species
UGUUGAAGUCUGGUAUGUAGACGGUGUGAGGUAUGUUGUGGUGAAGUUGUGAUGGGUGUGUUGUGUUUGAAGACUGUUCUAGUGUUGCUGUUUGGAAGCUGAAGUUUUUAUUGUUUUCUGUUUAAUUGUGUAAUUUGUGGCAGUCUUCAUUGAUGCCUGUUUGUAAUAUGUUGGGCUCUUAAUGAGUUCCUUGGAUUUGUUCAUUAUCUCAGCUAUCACAGUUCUGUGUGAUGAUG